rnacentral:rRNA from 1 species
UACGUAGGGUGCGAGCGUUAAUCGGAAUUACUGGGCGUAAAGCGUGCGUAGACGGUUAUGUAAGUCGGGUGUGAAAGCCCCGGGCUCAACCUGGGAAUGCCAUUCGAGACUGCAUAGCUAGGGUGCGGAAGAGGGAAGCGGAAUUUCCGGUGUAGCGGUGAAAUGCGUAGAUAUCGGAAGGAACACCAGUGGCGAAAGCGGCUUCCUGGUCCAGCACCGACGUUCAGGCACGAAAGCGUGGGGAGCAAACAGG